UGGCAAGUCACGGUCAAUACAUCUGAGUCCUAAAGUCUACAAGUCAACAACAGAUUAUCUCGGAUAGUCUCUGUCAGAUGGGAAUAGUUGGCAAAAUUGUCGGUAGUUAAUAUACCUCCUUCCUGGCAAUUAACAUGGUUAAGCAUUGUGUUCCUUUCUCCUCUCUUGCUGCUUUCAUUUUUCUCUUACUUUGUUUUAUCUUUUCAUUAGUUGCAAUUGGUGUGUAUUUGAAAGGUUAUUUAUUAAUGUAACCAAGAGAAAAAGGUGAUGGUAAGCCUUUGGCAAACCUUUUCAAACAUUCUUAGAUGAGCUUUAAUUUUCAGGUCAUAAAAGUAUUCCACCCUGAAAGCUCCAUAGCUAACAAAGAGUCUAAAAGGUUGCAGAGGCAGAAGACGAAUAAUACUCCUUACAGUGAACAUGAGUAUACUGAUGGAGACCAGAUUUCACAACAUAAAGACACCAGGUGUGUUCCUCUGGGAUUAAAGUCAAUGGAGGGCACAGAAGUUUAUAAGACCAUCUCAAAACCGCCUCAAUAUGAGUUUGCUUGCUGGGUGUACUGGAUUAAAACAGAUGUAGACUUGGAUACCAAAAAACAGGGAUUAAAAUAGCAGUCGGGUAGCGGAAUAGAGGCUGGUGUAUAGCGGUUGGGGUGCCAUCCGAAAUCGCUAUUGCUGAAAUAGCGGUGUGAAGCGGAGUCACACCAAUAGCAGUGGAUCGUGGUUGCAAUUUAAUGGGUAACGGUCAAUUGCGGCAAUAAGAGCCGUUAUUUCUGUUAUUUUUUCGUUAUUCUCGUUUAUAUCUUCUUCUUUUUUACUUUGUUAUUAGUUAUUAGUUGUGUGAAUUUUAAAAAAAUUCACAACCGCAAUACCUACAGUGACCGCAAUAACAUCCGAUAUGUUCGCAAUUGCGAUAAACAUAACGCGACCGAAAACGCAGCCGCAACUGCAAUUUAAAUCCCUGCAAAAAAGUUUCCCAUAAACUACAAGUAUUACCAUUAUCAUAAAAUAAGAGGUCGUGGGGGCAGGAGCAGUGAUCCGGGAUCACAAAGGCUCUUGGAUUGUUGGCUCAUAUGUCAUUUCGUCAUGUUCCACUUGCGACUACCGUAGAAGCGGACUUAUGGGCCCUUCGUGACGGCUUUAGACUUGCUAAGAGCUUAAAUAUUAGGCAUUUGGUCAUUGAAGUUGAUUCUACUUUAAUCAUUCAUUUCAUGUCUAAUAUAAAUACUACUAAUCUACUGUUAUCUCCAAUUAUGAAUGAUUGUAAGCCUCUGUCUAUUGAUUUCUAAGAGUAUUAAACAUAUCUUUCGAGUUUAGUACGUAUUCGGAACAACCUUCUUGAUAA